rnacentral:rRNA from 1 species
GACGAACGCUGGCGGCGUGCUUAACACAUGCAAGUCGAACGGAAAGGCCCUGCUUUUGUGGGGUGCUCGAGUGGCGAACGGGUGAGUAACACGUGAGUAACCUGCCCUUGACUUUGGGAUAACUUCAGGAAACUGGGGCUAAUACCGGAUAGGAGCUCCUGCUGCAUGGUGGGGGUUGGAAAGUUUCGGCGGUUGGGGAUGGACCCGCGGCUUAUCAGCUUGUUGGUGGGGUAGUGGCGUACCAAGGCUUUGACGGGUAGCCGGCCUGAGAGGGUGACCGGCCACAUUGGGACUGAGAUACGGCCCAGACUCCUACGGGAGGCAGCAGUGGGGAAUAUUGCACAAUGGGCGGAAGCCUGAUGCAGCAACGCCGCGUGCGGGAUGACGGCCUUCGGGUUGUAAACCGCUUUCGCCUGUGACGAAGCGUGAGUGACGGUAAUGGGUAAAGAAGCACCGGCUAACUACGUG